AAAAGAUAUGGAGAAUUAUGUAUAGUAAAAAGUCGAGUUACGCCGGAGCAUGAAAUACGUAAAGAAGGUUAUCGUGUUACAGCCAUUAUAAAUGAAACGCAAAGCUUGGUUCAGUCCUGCCAAUGCGAAGAUUGUGCGGCUUCUGAAGGUGGGUGUAAGCAUGCUGCUGCACUAUUGCUAUGGUUACACAGAAGAUCUGAGGAGCCUCCGAUAACGUCCAUCACAUGUUAUUGGAAAAAGACAAAAUUAUCUAUAUGUGCUUCUAGAAAAUCAUUUAUAAAAGCGAUACAAUGCUUUUAUAAAUGAAGUUAUGAAUGCUGCAAAGAAAUUCUCGAUAGAUGCUGUAUUUCCAAAAUUAAAAGAUAUUAAUUACAUGUUUUUUCUGUAACCAUUUUGUAGAUAUUUUAAAUAAAACUUUGUUUUUUAAA